rnacentral:rRNA from 1 species
CGGACGGGUGAGUAACGCGUGAGUAACCUGGCUCUAAGAGGGGGACAACAGUUGGAAACGACUGCUAAUACCGCAUAACGUAUCGGGAUGGCAUCCUUCUGAUACCAAAGAUUUUAUCGCUUAGAGAUGGGCUCGCGUCUGAUUAGAUAGUUGGCGGGGUAACGGCCCACCAAGUCGACGAUCAGUAGCCGGACUGAGAGGUUGAACGGCCACAUUGGGACUGAGACACGGCCCAG